AUUAUACCGUGAAACUGCGAAUGGCUCAUUAAAUCAGUUAUCGUUUAUUUGAUAGUACCUUACCACUUGGAUAACCGUGGUAAUUCUAGAGCUAAUACAUGCUAAAAACCCCGACUUCGGAAGGGGUGUGUUUAUUAGAUAAAAAACCAAUGCCCUUCGGGGCUCUUUGGUGAUUCAUGAUAACCUAACGGAUCGCAUGGCCUUGCGCCGGCGACGGUUCAUUCAAAUUUCUGCCCUAUCAACUUUCGAUGGUAAGGUAUUGGCUUACCAUGGUUUCAACGGGUAACGGGGAAUUAGGGUUCGAUUCCGGAGAGGGAGCCUGAGAAACGGCUACCACAUCCAAGGAAGGCAGCAGGCGCGCAAAUUACCCAAUCCCGACACGGGGAGGUAGUGACAAUAAAUACUGAUAUAGGGCUCUUUUGGGUCUUGUAAUUGGAAUGAGUACAAUUUAAACCCCUUAACGAGGAACAAUUGGAGGGCAAGUCUGGUGCCAGCAGCCGCGGUAAUUCCAGCUCCAAUAGCGUAUAUUAAAGUUGUUGCAGUUAAAAAGCUCGUAGUUGAAACUUGGGUCUGGCUAGCGGGUCCGCCUCACCGCGUGCACUUGUCCGGCUGGACCUUUCCUUCUGGAGAACCUCAUGCCCUUCACUGGGUGUGUUGGGGAACCAGGACUUUUACUUUGAAAAAAUUAGAGUGUUCAAAGCAGGCCUUUGCUCGAAUACGUUAGCAUGGAAUAAUAGAAUAGGACGUGCGGUCCUAUUUUGUUGGUUUCUAGGAUCGCCGUAAUGAUUAAUAGGGAUAGUCGGGGGCAUCAGUAUUCAAUUGUCAGAGGUGAAAUUCUUGGAUUUAUUGAAGACUAACUACUGCGAAAGCAUUUGCCAAGGAUGUUUUCAUUAAUCAGUGAACGAAAGUUAGGGGAUCGAAGACGAUCAGAUACCGUCGUAGUCUUAACCGUAAACUAUGCCGACUAGGGAUCGGGCGAUGUUUCUAUCUUGACUCGCUCGGCACCUUACGAGAAAUCAAAGUUUUUGGGU
rnacentral:rRNA from 1 species